GUAGCAGAGGUCAAGGCUGGUGAGUUUUUCCGGGUAGAAAUGAUUGAUGCAAUGGGAGGUGUUAUCAAAGACAAUGACUCUGCAAGCGAUAUCAAGAACCUAGUCCUAACUACUGUAAGUGGGUUUUGUGAGAAACAUGUGAAAAAUCAAUAAUGAAACAAUGAGUUUACUUUUAAAGAAAAACAACUUUUGGUGAUAUAUUGUACAGACUCAUCACCUAAGUGGGCCGAUUAGGGUUGUAGAUGAGGAAGGUGUUGCAGCUAAAGCAGGUGAUCUUCUUGCUGUUGAGAUAUGCAACUUGGGUCCUCUUCCAGGAGAUGAAUGGGGAUUCACUGGUUCGUUUGAUAGAGAGAAUGGUGGCGGUUUCUUGACUGACCAUUUCCCUUGUGCGACCAAAGCUAUUUGGUACUUUGAAGGGAUCUAUGCCUACUCUCCUCAGAUUCCUGGUAAGAAGAAAACAAUUCAAUGUCUUCUAUCAAGAAACUUAGUAGCAUAACCAUGUAGCUUUCCUUGUUAUGAUUCGUUCUGUUGAAUAUUCAAAUGCUAAUAUUACCCCAUCAUGGCAGGAGUACGAUUUCCGGGUUUGACACACCCAGGAGUCAUUGGCACUGCACCAUCGAAUGAACUCUUGAGAAUAUGGAAUGAUAGGGAAAGACAAUUAGAAGAAAGUGGUGUUGAGUCCCUAACACUAUGUGAGGUAGUGCAUCAGCGGCCAUUAGCAUGCCUACCAACAACUAAAGGAUGUCUCCUCGGGAAUGUACGCUAUUUUCUGAUGCUAUAACAAAGUUUUUGAACUGUAUAAAUAGUGCUUACCUCUGAAUUCCCAGGGAUUCUUACAUAAUCCUCUUGUAGAUUGAAGAAGGAACACCAGAAUGGGAAAGGAUUGCAAACGAGGCUGCGAGGACAAUACCAG
rnacentral:lncRNA from 1 species